CAUGCAAGUCGAGCGAGAAAGUGACUUCGGUCGCGAGUAAAGCGGCGAACGGGUGAGUACAACGUGGAUAAUCUACCCUAGGGUCUGGGACAACCCCGAGAAAUCGGAGCUAAUACCGGAUAAGACCACAGUAUCCAAGGAUACAGUGGUAAAAGAUUUAUCGCCUUUGGAUGAGUCCACGUCCCAUCAGGUAGUUGGUAAGGUAAAAGCUUACCAAGCCUAAGACGGGUAGCCGGCCUUAGCGGGUGAACGGCCACAUGGGGACUGAGACACGGCCCUGACUCCUACGGGAGGCAGCAGUGGGGAAUAUUGGGCAAUGGGCGAAAGCCUGACCCAGCGAUGCCGCGUGAGGGAUGAAGGCCUUCGGGUUGUAAACCUCUGUCAGGGGGGACGAUGGGACACUUGUGUCUUGACGGUACCUCCAGAGGAAGCCCCGGCUAACUCCGUGCCAGCAGCCGCGGUAAUACGGAGGGGGCAAGCGUUGCUCGGAAUUACUGGGCGUAAAGGGUCCGCAGGCUGUCAGGCAAGUUGGUUGUGAAAGCUCAAGGCUUAACCUUGGAAUUGCAUCCAAAGCUGCCUGACUAGAGUCCAAGAGAGGUUGGCGGAAUUCCCGGUGUAGCGGUGAAAUGCAUAGAUAUCGGGAGGAACACCAGAGGCGAAGGCGGCCAACUGGCUUGGAACUGACG
rnacentral:rRNA from 1 species